GACGAACGCUGGCGGCGUGCCUAAUACAUGCAAGUUGAGCGAUGAAGCUUGGUGCUUGCCCCAAUUUGAAGAGCAGCGAACGGGUGAGUAACGCGUGGGGAAUCUGCCUUUGAGCGGGGGACAACAUUUGGAAACGAAUGCUAAUACCGCAUAACAACUUUAAACAUAAGUUUUAAGUUUGAAAGAUGCAAUUGCAUCACUCAAAGAUGAUCCCGCGUUGUAUUAGCUAGUUGGUGAGGUAAAGGCUCACCAAGGCGAUGAUACAUAGCCGACCUGAGAGGGUGAUCGGCCACAUUGGGACUGAGACAAGGCCCAAACUCCUACGGGAGGCAGCAGUAGGGAAUCUUCGGCAAUGGACGAAAGUCUGACCGAGCAACGCCGCGUGAGUGAAGAAGGUUUUCGGAUCGGAAAACUCGGUUGGUAGAGAAGAACGUUGGUGAGAGUGGAAAGCUCAUCAAGUGACGGUAACUACCCAGAAAGGGACGGCUAACUACGUG
rnacentral:rRNA from 1 species